GAUGAAGAACGUAGCGAAAUGCGAUAAGUAAUGUGAAUUGCAGAAUCCAGUGAAUCAUCGAAUCUUUGAACGCACAUUGCGCCCCUUGGUAUUCCGAGGGGCAUGCCUGUUCGAGCGUCAUUAUAACCCCUCAAGCUCAGCUUGGUGUUGGGGCCUGCUGCACUGGCAGCCCUUAAAAUCAGUGGCGGCGCCAUCUGGCUCUAAGCGUAGUAAUUCUUCUCGCUAUGGAGUCCUGGUGGAUGCUUGCCAUCAACCCCCAAUUUUUCUAUGGUUGACCUCGGAUCAGGUAGGGAUACCCGCUGAACUUAAGCAUAUCAAUAAGCGGAGGA
rnacentral:misc_RNA from 1 species